rnacentral:rRNA from 1 species
GAUGAACGCUGGCGGCGUGCCUAAUACAUGCAAGUCGAGCGAACAGACGAGGAGCUUGCUCCUCUGACGUUAGCGGCGGACGGGUGAGUAACACGUGGAUAACCUACCUAUAAGACUGGGAUAACUUCGGGAAACCGGAGCUAAUACCGGAUAAUAUAUUGAACCGCAUGGUUCAAUAGUGAAAGACGGUUUUGCUGUCACUUAUAGAUGGACCCGCGCCGCAUUAUCUAGUUGGUAAGGUAACGGCUUACCAAGGCAACGAUGCGUAGCCGACCUGAGAGGGUGAUCGGCCACCCUGGAACUGAGACACGGUCCAGACUCCUACGGGAGGCAGCAGUAGGGAAUCGUCCGCAAUGGGCGAAAGCCUGACGGAGCAACGCCGAGUGAGUGAUGAAGGUCUUCGGAUCGUAAAACUCUGUUAUUAGGGAAGAACAAAUGUGUAAGUAACUAUGCACGUCUUGACGGUACCUAAUCAGAAAGCCACGGCUAACUACGUG